rnacentral:rRNA from 1 species
UACGGAGGGGGCUAGCGUUGUUCGGAAUUACUGGGCGUAAAGCGCACGUAGGCGGCUUUGUAAGUUAGAGGUGAAAGCCCAGGGCUUAACCCUGGAAUUGCCUUUAAGACUGCAUCGCUAGAAUUGUGGAGAGGUGAGUGGAAUUCCGAGUGUAGAGGUGAAAUUCGUAGAUAUUCGGAAGAACACCAGUGGCGAAGGCGGCUCACUGGACUGGUAUUGACGCUGAGGUGCGAAAGCGUGGGGAGCGAACAGG